UACGGGGGGGGCAAGCGUUGUUCGGAAUUACUGGGCGUAAAGGGCUCGUAGGCGGCCAACUAAGUCGGACGUGAAAUCCCUCGGCUUAACCGGGGAACUGCGUCCGAUACUGGACGGCUUGAGUUCGGGAGAGGGAUGCGGAAUUCCAGGUGUAGCGGUGAAAUGCGUAGAUAUCUGGAGGAACACCGGUGGCGAAGGCGGCAUCCUGGACCGACACUGACGCUGAGGAGCGAAAGCCAGGGGAGCAAACGGG
rnacentral:rRNA from 1 species